AGUUUGAACCCCCGAAACUAAGUGAGCUACUUCGAGGCAGUUUUAAGAACGAACCCAUCUCUGUUGCAAAAGAGUGGGAUGACCCCCAAGUAGCGGCGACAAACCUACCGCACUUAGAGAUAGCUGGUUACUCAAGAAAAGAAUUUAAGUUCAACCUAAAGUUUUGUAAUUAAACAAAAAUACAAUAAAACUUUAGAGCUAUUCAAGUAAGGCACAGCUUAUUUGAAACAGGACUCAACCUACAACAUAGGGUAAUAUUAACAAACAAGUAUCAAGUGGGCCUAAGAGCAGCCACCUACAUAAAAGCGUUAAAGCUUAAUACUCAAGUUAAACUAAUAACACCACCACCCAAGAACCCCUCACUAAUAUUAAGUAACUCCAUAAAUUUAUGGAAGCUAUUAUGCUAGAACUAGUAACAAGAAAUAGCUUUCUCCUAAAUGUAAGCCUAAGCCCCCAAUAGACUAACUACUGGCAAUUAACGAAUAUGAAAACAUUACAGCAACCCACACAAGAAAACUCUGUAUAAACACACGUUACCCUUACACUAGAACAUUUAAUAAAAGAUUAAAAGAAUAAGAAGAUUUCGGCAAAUCCCCUAACCCCGCCGAU
rnacentral:rRNA from 1 species